AAUAAACAAAGCAGGAUCAAAAGAGGCACCACACCAGGCUAUUCACACUUACGUCGCAAUUGCUUUUGCCGCUAGCAUCUUCGGUCACGACCAUAGCACCAGAAUGCACUUCAUUUAUUAUUAUCACAAAAAGGACGUAUACACCAACCACACUAUACAUUUUUUUCCACAAAGAAUCACUAUAUACAUGUUCCUCCAAAUGUUUACAUCCUCUAGAACUUUCUUCCCUCUCAUCCUGAUGCAUCCCACCCUCUCCAGCACUUGUCUCCUCAGCCCUGGGUACUCUUCUCCUACAUAGCAGUUGUACAGAAGCAAGGUAUUCACUCGGGAAAAAAAAUAUAUUUCAACCAAGUAGAUGCAGAUGAAUAUGAUCGAGUGGGAGAAGAAUCAAGAACUUAUAUUUAUACCAUGAGGUCUAUGAAAAAUAAUAAACUCGCUGAGGAGAAGAAACAUGAUGUCAUUGCGUUGCUUUCGAACCACCGGGACAAAGUGGACAACAUCACGACCGUGUCAUUGACAAUAGCC
rnacentral:lncRNA from 1 species